rnacentral:misc_RNA from 1 species
GAAAUGCGAUAAGUAAUGUGAAUUGCAGAAUUCAGUGAAUCAUCGAAUCUUUGAACGCACAUUGCGCCCGCCAGUAUUCUGGCGGGCAUGCCUGUUCGAGCGUCAUUUCAACCAUCAAGCCCCCGGCUUGUGUUGGGGACCUGCGGCUGCCCGCAGGCCCUGAAAAACAGUGGUGGGCUCGCUGUCACACCGAGCGUAGUAGCAUACAUUCUCGCUCAGGGCGUGCUGCGGGUCCCGGCCGUUAAACGACCUUCAUAACCCAAGGUUGACCUCGGAUCAGGUAGGAAGACCCGCUGAACUUAAGC